CCUACGGGGGGCUGCAGUGGGGAAUAUUGGACAAUGGGGGGAACCCUGAUCCAGCCAUGUCGCGUGUGUGAAGAAGGCCCUCGGGUUGUAAAGCACUUUCAGUGAGGAAGAACGCCUGGUGGUUAAUACCCAUCAGGAAAGACAUCACUCACAGAAGAAGCACCGGCUAACUCCGUGCCAGCAGCCGCGGUAAUACGGAGGGUGCGAGCGUUAAUCGGAAUUACUGGGCGUAAAGCGCGCGUAGGUGGCUUGAUAAGCCGGUUGUGAAAGCCCCGGGCUCAACCUGGGAACGGCAUCCGGAACUGUCAAGCUAGAGUGCAGGAGAGGAAGGUAGAAUUCCCGGUGUAGCGGUGAAAUGCGUAGAGAUCGGGAGGAAUACCAGUGGCGAAGGCGGCCUUCUGGACUGACACUGACACUGAGGUGCGAAAGCGUGGGUAGCAAACAGGAUUAGAUACCCCUGUAGUC
rnacentral:rRNA from 1 species